rnacentral:tRNA from 1 species
GUGAGUGUAGCUCAGUGGUAGAGCACUUGCCUAGCAUGCAAGAGGGUGUGGCUUCAAUCACA